GAGAAAGGAAUUUACUCAAUGCUAAGUUGCUUGAAUUCGAAAACCUACCCGUAAUCCUUAUGCAGUUCCACAAAAUCCUUCUAUUGCUACCCAAACUGCUUUUCCUGGGGCCACUCCAAUUGUCUCUUCAAUGACUGCUCAAAAUAGCAACCCUCCUUCAGUUUCAAGUUUCAGUCAACUCGGUGCAUCACUAAAUAUGGGGUUUGGAAUGAGGCAAGAUUUUCUCCCGACAUCUGAAUUUAUAUUUAGCUAUCUUCUUGCUAAUGAUGGUAUCUGUUGAUUUAUAGGGCAGCUUUAGUGUUCUUAUGCUGUUGCAAGGGUUAUUCAAAGUCUGCCCUUUGAUUUUGUUAACUUAGUUGGGUUAAUUCUUCAGGCCCGCUACUCCUACAAAUAAUGCUUUUGGUUCCACUCAAAUUUCCAGUCAGACUACUAGUGUAUUUGAAACCAAGAACUCGCCAUUUGGAAGUUCAGGUUCAUUUGGGGGUCAACUUCGUAACCAGUCAUUUGGAAGUUCCAUUGCCCCCAACACUGCAAGCUUCAGCAACAGUGCCGUUAGUGCUGAACGAAACCCAUUUUUUACUUCGGCAGUGUCACCACAAGUUCCAAGUUCAGCAAGUUUCCAGUCAUCCAUACCUCCGAAUGGGCCUAACUCUGCCUCCACUGCAGUUGAACAAUUAUCUGUGAAUGUGGACACAAUGCAAGUUCUUGGAUUUUUUUUUUUUCUCAACCAAAAAAAUAAAAAUAAAUCAGUUACGAAGUUUUGGAUUGGAAGUACAUAACAAUUAAAAUCCGUAUUCUAUUUAAAGAACUAAACCAGAAGAAGGCCAGCAAUCCCUAGUUCCCUCUAUUUGGGUUUGGCUUUACUGACUUAAAGAUCCAUUUAUAUUAAAAUUGUUUUACUAACUAUUAUCAUCCUGGACCCAACCUUAAAUUGGGUUCAAAAUUUUGAUGUGGCUGAAAAUGAUCCCAUCAUAAAGCUUAAUUGAUGUAAACCUACCUUUUGCUCAUGUAGUGUAAGAUCAUGAAAAGGAGCUUGUUAUAUCUUUUUGUAUUUUAUGAUAAAAGAUGAUGUGAACCCUUUCUAUGGGAAAACUUGGGGAUCCCGAAUUACACUGGUUGGUCAGCUUCGAGUUAGUUUUUCACUAUUUAGAUUCAUUUAGGACCAGAUCCCGUCAUAAUCAGGCGCCAUUGAUUCAUUUCUUACCGCCUUGACUCUGUAUUUUUUAUUCUGGUGUCUCUAUUCUUGUCAUUUUUUGUAUUUGUGUUCUUUGGAUACGAUCCUAGAUCUGAUCUAUAAUUUGUAGGAUUUUUUUCUUCAAAACUGUGAACAAUUUAUUAUAUGCUUGUUAUUAACUUUGGUUAUUUUCCCAUCCUGCAGUGAUAAUAUGACAAGGAAGAAUGGUGCAGUGGAUGAUGCCAUCUGGUUGAAAGAGGAAUGGAAUAUCAUUUGACAUUUAUAUUGAGUGUUCAUUCUUAAUUUUCCUUUAGCAUUAUUAUUAUUAUUAUUUGAAAAAUUCUUUUUUUGAGUUUUUCCCAUGGAUCCUAUCAAAAGUCAAAAGACCUUCAUGGCAAUAAUAAGUGUUUGCACAUUGUUUUAUUCAAGAUCCAUUUUGAAUCAUUACUAUUAAUGUUUUGGAAACUCGUACAUUAUGCAUUACUUGUUUAUUUUUUUUUCUACUUUCAGAUUCCGGAAGAAGCACCUCCGGACAAAUAUACAUUCUAGGGUUAUUUUAGAAUUAGGCAUGCAAAUGGUUGAAAUAUGGACACAUUCGGAUCGGUAAUCACUGUCAGCAGAAAUCUAACCUUGGCUUCAUGGGGGGUGGCUAAUUUUCAAAAGAAGAUGGUGACCAUGUUGUGCAGAUUGCCGACUGGUUUUGACGUUCCACUGGGAGUAUAAAUUAAAUUCAAUCCAAGGAGGUAAUUCUAAUGCCUUUUGGUAAUUGGAUUAUGUUGGUGAGAAGGAAUGAGAUUUGAAUGUGUUACAUGGUGCUAAAGUCGUGAGAUGUUGAUUGUAAUCUUUGAUCCGCAAUCUCUGGUCUGUCUUGUACUGAUUUAUGAAGCACAGAUACUUCAAAAAGGGUGACGUAUCCGUAUCAGAUACUUAUCAGAUACCGAUACUCCUCGAAUACUCGCGGAUACGUAUCGGAUACUUCUUAAAAGUAUUAGAUACUUCUUAAUUAAUUUUUUAUUAAUUUUGAAGUAUCGAAUACUUAAUUUUGAAGUAUCGGAUACUCAAAGUUAUAUAUUACUUAUA